rnacentral:rRNA from 1 species
GAUGAACGCUGGCGGCGUGCCUAAUACAUGCAAGUCGAGCGAACAGACGAGGAGCUUGCUCCUCUGACGUUAGCGGCGGACGGGUGAGUAACACGUGGAUAACCUACCUAUAAGACUGGGAUAACUUCGGGAAACCGGAGCUAAUACCGGAUAAUAUAUUGAACCGCAUGGUUCAAUAGUGAAAGACGGUUUUGCUGUCACUUAUAGAUGGAUCCGCGCCGCAUUAGCUAGUUGGUAAGGUAACGGCUUACCAAGGCAACGAUGCGUAGCCGACCUGAGAGGGUGAUCGGCCACACUGGAACUGAGACACGGUCCAGACUCCUACGGGAGGCAGCAGUAGGGAAUCUUCCGCCAUGGGCGAAAGCCUGACGGAGCAACGCCGCGUGAGUGAUGAAGGUCUUCGGAUCGUAAAACUCUGUUAUUAGGGAAGAACAAAUGUGUAAGUAACUAUGCACGUCUUGACGGCACCUAAUCAGAAAGCCACGGCUAACUACGUG